GCGGAGGAAAAGAAACCAACAGGGAUUGCCCUAGUAACGGCGAGUGAAGCGGCAACAGCUCAAAUUUGAAAUCUGGCUCUCUUUGGGAGUCCGAGUUGUAAUUUGCAGAGGGUGCUUUGGCAUUGGCGGCGGUCUAAGUUCCUUGGAACAGGACAUCGCAGAGGGUGAGAAUCCCGUACGUGGGCGCCUGCCUUUGCCGUGUAAAGCCCCUUCGACGAGUCGAGUUGUUUGGGAAUGCAGCUCUAAAUGGGAGGUAAAUUUCUUCUAAAGCUAAAUACUGGCCAGAGACCGAUAGCGCACAAGUAGAGUGAUCGAAAGAUGAAAAGUACUUUGGAAAGAGAGUCAAAUAGCACGUGAAAUUGUUGAAAGGGAAGCGCUUGCAGCCAGACUUGCCCGCAGUUGCUCACCUAGGCUUUUGCCUGGGGCACUCUUCUGCGGGCAGGCCAGCAUCAGUUUGGGCGGUUGGAUAAAGGCCUCUGUCACGUAUCUCCCUUCGGGGUGACCUUAUAGGGGAGGCGCAAUGCAACCAGCCCGGACUGAGGUCCGCGCAUCUGCUAGGAUGCUGGCGUAAUGGCUGUAAGCGGCCCGUCUUGAAACACGGACCAAGGAGUCUAACAUCUAUGCGAGUGUUUGGGUGUCAAGCCCGGGCGCGUAAUGAAAGUGAACGGAGGUGGGAACCCUUUUGGGUGCACCAUCGACCGAUCCUGAUGUCUUCGGAUGGAUUUGAGUAAGAGCAUAGCUGUUGGGACCCGAAAGAUGGUGAACUAUGCUUGAAUAGGGUGAAGCCAGAGGAAACUCUGGUGGAGGCUCGCAGCGGUUCUGACGUGCAAAUCGAUCGUCAAAUUUGGGCAUAGGGGCGAAAGACUAAUCGAACCAUCUAGUAGCUGG
rnacentral:rRNA from 1 species